rnacentral:rRNA from 1 species
AACGCUGGCGGCGCGCCUAACACAUGCAAGUCGAGCGAGAAAGUCUCCGCAAGGGGAUGAGUACAGCGGCGCACGGGUGAGUAACACGUGGGCAAUCUGCCCUCUAGCGGGGGAUAACCCGGGGAAACCUGGGCUAAUACCGCAUAACAUCCCAUUUCCUGCGGGAGAGGGGAUCAAAGGAGCAAUCCGCUGGAGGAGGGGCCCGCGGCCGAUUAGCUGGUUGGCGGGGUCACGGCCCACCAAGGCGAAGAUCGGUAGCCGGUCUGAGAGGACGCACGGCCACACUGGGACUGAAACACGGCCCAGACUCCUACGGGAGGCAGCAGUGGGGAAUCUUGCACAAUGGGGGAAACCCUGAUGCAGCGACGCCGCGUGAGCGAUGAAGCCCUUCGGGGUGUAAAGCUCUUUCGGUGGGGACGAUAGUGACGGUACCCGCAAAAGAAGCCCCGGCUAACUACGUGCCAGCAGCCGCGGUAAUACGUAGGGGGCCAGCGUUGUUCGGAAUUACUGGGCGUAAAGAGCGCGUAGGCGGUGCGGCAGGUUCGGUGUGAAAUCUCCCGGCUUCACUGGGAGGGGUCGCCGAAAACGGCCGCGCUCGAGUACGGGAGAGGGGAGUGGAAUUCCCGGUGUAGCGGUGAAAUGCGUAGAGAUCGGGAGGAACACCAGUGGCGAAGGCGGCUCCCUGGACCGUGACUGACGCUGAGGCGCGAAAGCUAGGGGAGCAAACAG